CAACUAUGGUGAGGAAGUGUUAGUUCCUUCCAAUGCAUGUGAACUGUAUACUUGCCUGAACCAUCCAUUCUGUCUGUCUCAGAAGAAGCCCCGUUCAGCCUGUUGACUUCGAGUCUGCUGUAUCCCUGCCAUUCAACUGUAUUAAGAAGCCCCGUUCAGCCUGUUGACUUCGAGUCUACUGUAUCCCUGCCAUUCAACUGUAUGGUGAGAAGUGUUCGUUCCUUCCAAUGCAUGUGAACUGUAUACUUGCCUGAAACAUCCAUUCUGUCUGUCUCAGAAGAAGCCCCGUUCAGCCUGUUGACUUCGAGUCUACUGUAUCCCUGCCAUUCAACUGUAUGGUGAGAAGUGUUCGUUCCUUCCAAUGCAUGUGAACUGUAUACUUGCCUGAAACAUCCAUUCUGUCUGCCUCAGAAGAAGCCCCGUUCAGCCCGUUGACUUCGAGUCUGCUGUAUCCCUGCCAUUCAAUUGUAUUGUGAGAAGUGUUCGUUCCUUCCAAAUGCAUGUGAGCUGUAUACUUGCCUGAAACAUCCAUUCUGUCUGUCUCAGAAGAAGCCCCGUUCAGCCUGUUGACUUCGAGUCUACUGUAUCCCUGCCAUUCAACUGUAUGGUGAGAACCCCGUUCAGCCUGUUGACUUCGAGUCUGCUGUAUCCCUGCCAUUCAACUGUAUGGUGAGAAGUGUUCGUUCCUUCCAAUGCAUGUAAACUGUAUACUUGCCUUAAACAUCCAUUCUGUCUGUCUCAGAAGAAGCCCCGUUCAGCCUGUUGACUUCGAGUCUGCUGUAUUCCUGCCAUUCAUCUGGAUUGUGAGAAGUGUUUGUUCCUUCCAACGCAUGUGAAUUGUAUACUUUGUUUGAAGCAUUCAUCCUGUCUGUCUCAGUAGAAAUCCCGCGCAGCCUGUCGACUUUGAGUUUGCUGCAUCCUUGUGGCCCACCUGUGCUGAGAGAGGUGACCGUCCUUUUGUCACGAAUGUGAGGCUGACGCGCUUGGUCUGGAAUACCCACUCUGUCAGUGUCAGGAGAAGC